UCAAACAUGACACAAAGGAAAUACAUUUUCUCCUCAGUGUUCUUUCAUUUUAAGCCUCGGGUUGAAGCCGCAUUUCUGUGAUAGUUGCUGUACUGACUGAGCCGGAGAUACAGAAAAGAUCACCUCCCUAAUUUCCAAGGCUGGUGCCAUGAUCACAGAAGGCUGGAAAAUUCUGUGUCUUGUCAUCAGUGAAAGCUGGCGAAAUACGGUGAUUCUCUCACCAGCUCCACAUGGCAGGUACUUCUCAAAGAUGACAGCAGAGACAGAGACAUGAGCCACUGACUCAAGGUUCCCAGCGGGUGGUACGUGGGCCUGGAAUAUGGACCAGGGUGGACGAAUAUGGACCGGCGUUCCAAAGGACCACCUCUCCCUGAGGUUACACCCCAAAUCGCAACAGCCCUACAAAAGCGCCACCGUUCUUCCAACUUCACAGGUCUUCCACAUGGUCCUCCCCAAUUAGAAUCUUGGCAGCAAUUUCUAGGCUGACGAUCUGUGGCGUUGACACCAAAAACAG